rnacentral:rRNA from 1 species
GAUGAACGCUAGCGGCAGGCUUAAUACAUGCAAGUCGUGGGGCAGCAGGGUUGUAGCAAUACAAUCGCUGGCGACCGGCAAACGGGUGCGUAACACGUACGCAACCUUCCCGUUACUGUGGCAUAGCCCAGGGAAACUUGGAUUAAUACCACAUAUUAUAUUGAGGGGGCAUCCCUUUGAUAUCAAAGCUUCGGCGGUAACGGAUGGGCGUGCGGUUGAUUAGGUAGUUGGCGGGGUAACGGCCCACCAAGCCUACGAUAAAUAGCUGAUGUGAGAGCAUGAUCAGCCACACGGGCACUGAGACACGGGCCCGACUCCUACGGGAGGCAGCAGUAAGGAAUAUUGGGCAAUGGACGAAAGUCUGACCCAGCCAUGCCGCGUGAAGGAUUAAGGUCCUCUGGAUUGUAAACUUCUUUUCUCUGGGGCGAAAACCAGCUAUUCUUAGCUAUUUGACAGUACCAGAGGAAUAAGCACCGGCUAACUCCGUGCCAGCAGCCGCGGUAAAAC